rnacentral:rRNA from 1 species
GACGAACGCUUUUGGCGUGCUUAACACAUGCAAGUCGAACGGAAAGGCCCUGCUUUUGUGGGGUGCUCGAGUGGCGAACGGGUGAGUAACACGUGAGUAACCUGCCCUUGACUUUGGGAUAACUUCAGGAAACUGGGGCUAAUACCGGAUAGGAGCUCCUGCUGCAUGGUGGGGGUUGGAAAGUUUCGGCGGUUGGGGAUGGACUCGCGGCUUAUCAGCUUGUUGGUGGGGUAGUGGCUUACCAAGGCUUUGACGGGUAGCCGGCCUGAGAGGGUGACCGGCCACAUUGGGACUGAGAUACGGCCCAGACUCCUACGGGAGGCAGCAGUGGGGAAUAUUGCACAAUGGGCGGAAGCCUGAUGCAGCAACGCCGCGUGCGGGAUGACGGCCUUCGGGUUGUAAACCGCUUUCGCCUGUGACGAAGCGUGAGUGACGGUAAUGGGUAAAGAAGCACCGGCUAACUACGUGCCAGCAGCCGCGGUGAUACGUAGGGUGCGAGCGUUGUCCGGAUUUAUUGGGCGUAAAGGGCUCGUAGGUGGUUGAUCGCGUCGGAAGUGUAAUCUUGGGGCUUAACCCUGAGCGUGCUUUCGAUACGGGUUGACUUGAGGAAGGUAGGGGAGAAUGGAAUUCCUGGUGGAGCGGUGGAAUGCGCAGAUAUCAGGAGGAACACCAGUGGCGAAGGCGGUUCUCUGGGCCUUUCCUGACGCUGAGGAGCGAAAGCGUGGGGAGCGAACAGGCUUAGAUACCCUGGUAGUCCACGCUGUAAACGGUGGGUACUAGGUGUGGGGUCCAUUCCACGGGUUCCGUGCCGUAGCUAACGCUUUAAGUACCCCGCCUGGGGAGUACGGCCGCAAGGCUAAAACUCAAAGGAAUUGACGGGGCCCCGCACAAGCGGCGGAGCAUGCGGAUUAAUUCGAUGCAACGCGUAGAACCUUACCUGGGUUUGACAUGGAUCGGGAGUGCUCAGAGAUGGGUGUGCCUCUUUUGGGGUCGGUUCACAGGUGGUGCAUGGCUGUCGUCAGCUCGUGUCGUGAGAUGUUGGGUUAAGUCCCGCAACGAGCGCAACCCUUGUUCACUGUUGCCAGCACGUUAUGGUGGGGACUCAGUGGAGACCGCCGGGGUCAACUCGGAGGAAGGUGGGGAUGACGCCAAGUCAUCAUGCCCCUUAUGUCCAGGGCUUCACGCAUGCUACAAUGGCUGGUACAGAGAGUGGCGAGCCUGUGAGGGUGAGCGAAUCUCGGAAAGCCGGUCUCAGUUCGGAUUGGGGUCUGCAACUCGACCUCAUGAAGUCGGAGUCGCUAGUAAUCGCAGAUCAGCAACGCUGCGGUGAAUACGUUCCCGGG